AGCGAACGCUGGCGGCAGGCUUAACACAUGCAAGUCGAGCGCCCGUAGCAAUACGGGAGCGGCAGACGGGUGAGUAACACGUGGGAACGUGCCUUUUGGUUCGGAACAACUGAGGGAAACUUCAGCUAAUACCGGAUAAAGCCCUUACGGGGAAAGAUUUAUCGCCAAAAGAUCGGCCCGCGUCUGAUUAGCUAGUUGGUGGGGUAAUGGCCCACCAAGGCUACGAUCAGUAGCUGGUCUGAGAGGAUGAUCAGCCACACUGGGACUGAGACACGGCCCAGACUCCUACGGGAGGCAGCAGUGGGGAAUCUUGGACAAUGGGCGCAAGCCUGAUCCAGCCAUGCCGCGUGAGUGAUGAAGGCCUUAGGG
rnacentral:rRNA from 1 species